rnacentral:rRNA from 1 species
UACGUAGGUGGCGAGCGUUGUCCGGAUUUAUUGGGUUUAAAGGGUGCGUAGGCAGGCGGCUAAGUCAGGGGUGAAAGACGGUGGCUCAACCAUCGCAGUGCCUUUGAUACUGGCCGCCUUGAGUGUGGGCGGGGUCUGCGGAAUGGACCGUGUAGCGGUGAAAUGCUCAGAUACGGUCCGGAACACCGAUUGCGAAGGCAGCAGACUAGGGCGCAACUGACGCUGAGGCACGAAAGUGCGGGGAUCAAACAGG